ensembl:miRNA bta-mir-6715 bta-mir-6715
ACAGGCACGGCCAGUUUGAGCAUUUUCACUGAAUUGCCAAACCAGUUGUGCCUGUAGA